rnacentral:piRNA from 1 species
UGAGGUGAAAAGCUUAGCUAGGACCUGGUU